AAUCCAUGUUGUGGGCACCUCCGCAAAAGAUCCUUGAAGUGCUCCCAUGUCUCAAACAAUGAUUCCAAUACCAUAUGCAUAAAUGAUGAUAUCUCAUUUUAAAGCUU